GAUUUCAACUGAAAAAUUCAUCAACAACAAAUUUGUGUAACUCAUCAAUAUUUAUAAUUUUUAUUUUGAUCAUUUCUUCAUCCGAUAAAGUGAUAGUAACAUUGUUCACAAAAUUUAUAUAUCUCUCAUAGGUUAUAAAACCAAAUAAGAGAUGUAAAUUUUGCGAACAAUCUUAAAAUUAUUUUGCCGGAUGAAGAAAUGAUCAAAAUAAAAGUUAUAGAUAUUAAUGAGUUAUACAACUUUGAUGUUGAUGAAUUUUUCAGUUGAAAUC
rnacentral:pre_miRNA from 1 species